GUGGGGCCUGAGGCAAUGCAGGUGUAGUAGGUGUGGGGCAUGAUACAAUGCAGACGUAGUAGGUGUGGGGCCUGAGGCAAUGCAGGUGUAGUAGGUGUGGGGCCUGAGGCAAUGCAGGUGUAGUAGGUGUGGGGCAUGAUACAAUGCAGGUGUAGUAGGUGUGGAGCCUG